GGAAGAGGCAAAAGUGGUCCGUAUUUGUUUCGCGUCGUGGUGUAAUUUAAAAUUUGAUCGUCAAUCAGUAAUUUGUUCGAUCUCAGUUGCGGCAGUGCGUGUUACUAGUUUAGGAAAGGUGCGAGGCAGCGAAGCCAUUUGCCGUUACACCACCAUCCCAUUAGAGACCGCUUUUGACCCCACUCGUCGGCGUCGAGGUAAUCCCGGGGCACACGUGGCCGGAAGAGGGCCGCGUCACGUUCCUUUUACGCGCCCUAGACAGGCAGGCUCAUCCAACUCAUCAGCGUCCAACCGACAGCAGCGAGAACUAUUGUUCGACGAACGGACGCAUGUGCCGCGUUCAAGCGUAAGACCACGCGCCAGGUGAGAGAGUCAUCAACGAUCGACACGUAAAGCCGUCGACAUCGGGCCGGAGUAGUGCGUAAGCUCUGUGUGCUCAGCCGCCGACUCAUCACCAUCCAACCAUCCACGUAAAACCUAGUAAGUGCGACGUUGUGCUGCUGUUGAAUUCGGUCACAAAGGAAGCGGAAGAGCCCUGAAAGAUCGAACCCUCCAGAAACUAGUGGACGUCAUUAAAACAAUUUCUGGUAUUUUCGCCGACGGACGGUUCCGGUACUGUUAAGUUGAAUUAUUGAAAACGCUCGAGAAGUUCUUCAUUUCCUUCUGCAAGUUCUGAAUCAGGCCGUUCAAGUGCUGGACGAACGAUCUGCGGAGGAAAUACGGAGCUACAUCAAUGAGGGCCAGCCGCACGAAGAGUUCCGCAAUGAGAAUGUUUUCAUCGUCCAUCAGAAGAAGGCGGGUGAGCUGAAAUCAAAAUUGAAUGAAGCAAAAACCUCUGUUGAAAUGCUAGGCGAACGAACUUCGAUUUCCGCAGGAAAUCUAGAACAGCUGGAGAAAGAAAAUGUUCCGCACGAGUUCUUGAGAGCCCCAGACGAGCAUUCCGCAAGAGAGACCCCUAGUACAGCUGCAAUUCCCUGCCGAAAGGUUUCAUAGCGCAUACAGUAAACGGCCGAAGUUAAUUCGACGAAUAAUUCCAUGAAGAAUCUGUCGGCAUUUGAUGAGACCUCAAUGCUUUCGAGCAACACUCCGCUGAAGGAGAAGGGCGAUUCUGAGUGUGAUGUGGUUCCAGCAUACCGAUUCGGAAGAUAUUAAACGACUGAUUUUUCCAUGAAGGAUAACAUUGGAAAAUACUAUUUGUGGACCUGCUCUUGUUGUACCGUAGACGACGCGGAUUGAAGCUGGAGUCGCCGCUUGAAUUCGACGAACGACAUCGGAGGCUUUGUUCACCUAUAUAGGGGACCCAGUACAGACGAUGAACGUUAUAUCAUCGGAUACAAGCAAUUGGUUCCUGAUAAAGGAUUGAUGCAUUUUUUAGAUAUAACCUUCCUGUGAUUGUUCUUUGAUAUGUUAGAUAGAUUGUUCUAUGUAGUUGAGCAUUCAAUAAAUUAUGCCUAAUUCAGAUCAAAUCUUUGUUAAUGCUUUU